UCCGGCCCUUAUCACCACUAACGUUCAAGCUGACACUGAGCCCACUUAGUUCAAUGACAAGGAGCCGACCUGGGGGUCACGCCUGUCUCCAGAGAGCCGGUGCUAUCUCGGUGACCUGCGGAAACCUUGGCAUGAGCUCAUGUUUUCUGACGACAGAGGACCCCAGCCGUAUCACAGGCCCGCGCCCCCACCCUCCGCAUCUGGCAUGAGCCGGGUGAAGGCUUUACCAUUACUUACUGAAAUAGCAACACUGAUAACCACAGCAGACACAAGCGCAUUGAUGAAUUUCCAUUCAGAAAAGCACCUACUCCAGCCCUGCCCACUGCCUGCAUGUGUCCAACGCGGUGGACAGCCAGGCACAGGCAGAGCCAUUCUUGGACACAGCCCCAAAACAUCACCACCCCCAACUCAGCCCCCGUUGUUCGGGAACAGGCCUCAAAAUCUGGCCAUGAACUGCCCUAAGACUGGCCAUAAACAAAAUCUCUGCAGCACUGUGACAUGUUCGUGAUGGCCAUCGCACCCACGCUGGAAGGUUGUGGGUUUACCAGAAUGAGGGCAAGGAACACCUGGCCCACCCAGGGUGGAAAACAGCUUAAAGGCGUUCUUAAACCACAAACAAUAGCAUAAGGGAUCUGUGCCUUAAGGACAUGUUCAUGCUGCAGAUAACGAGCCAGACCCAUCGCUUUACUUUUGCCCAUCCCUUUAUUUUCCAUAAGGAAUACUUUUAGUUAAUGUAUAAUCUAUAGAAACAAUGCUUAUCACUGGCUUGCUGUCAGUAAAUACAUGGGUAAAUCUCUGUUCCAGGCUCUCAGCUCUGAAGGCUGUGAGACCCCUGAUUUCCCACUCCACACUAUAUUUCUGUGUGUGUGUCUUUAAUUCUUCUAGUGCCACUGGGUUAGGGUCUCCACGACUGAGCUGUUUUCAGCACCCCGUGAAGAUAUGAUGUGUCCAUAGGCCGUUAGAGGAAUAUGUAUCCCGAGAAUUCAUGCUACAGCAUAGUUUCUCCUCACUUGGGAAAAUGCCUUCAGGAUAGAAACCUUGUUUAAUAUAUUUGUAUGUUCCGAAAUUGUCCCCCGCCUCACCAGCACAGGCUGUUCAACAUAAACGGGCUGGGUUGAAUUGAAUCGGGCAGAGUUGACAGAACACAGGACCAGGAAGCAGGUCACCCAAGCUGCUGGCCCUGCCAUGGCUCCUGGUGGACAUGAGGGAGGAACAAUAUCACAGGGCUGUGUACACCCCCUGCCAUAUUGGGAGUAAUAUCAUCCUGUCGACCUGAGGAGAGAAGCCAUUUCUCUGCUGUCUCUUGUCUCUGAAGAGAAGGAGGAAGUAAAAGUUGAAAAACAACAGGAAUGAAGUCGGUGGCAAGACCAGCCAGUGGCACUGAUGAGCCGGCCUGAGGUGAAAAGAUUAACCACCCCCACUCUAAGCGCAUGUGCUCUCAAUCCAUCACGAUUCUUUCACGUGGAACCCCUUAGAGUUGUAAGCCCUUAAACGGGCCAGGAACCCUGUCUUCCUUUGGGGGUUGGGCUCUUAAGACAAGAGUCUGCCGACACUCCCGGCUGAAUAAAAA
rnacentral:lncRNA from 1 species